rnacentral:rRNA from 1 species
AGAGUUUGAUCCUGGCUCAGGACGAACGCUGGCGGCGUGCCUAACACAUGCAAGUCGAACGGAAAGGCCCUUCGGGGUACUCGAGUGGCGAACGGGUGAGUAACACGUGGGUGAUCUGCCCUGCACUUUGGGAUAAGCCUGGGAAACUGGGUCUAAUACCGAAUAGGACCACGCGCUUCAUGGUGUGUGGUGGAAAGCUUUUGCGGUGUGGGAUGGGCCCGCGGCCUAUCAGCUUGUUGGUGGGGUAAUGGCCUACCAAGGCGACGACGGGUAGCCGGCCUGAGAGGGUGACCGGCCACACUGGGACUGAGAUACGGCCCAGACUCCUACGGGAGGCAGCAGUGGGGAAUAUUGCACAAUGGGCGCAAGCCUGAUGCAGCGACGCCGCGUGAGGGAUGACGGCCUUCGGGUUGUAAACCUCUUUCAAUGGGGACGAAGCGCAAGUGACGGUACCUAUGGAAGAAGCACCGGCCAACUACGUGCCAGCAGCCGCGGUAAUACGUAGGGUGCGAGCGUUGUCCGGAAUUACUGGGCGUAAAGAGCUCGUAGGUGGUUUGUCGCGUUGUUCGUGAAAACUCACAGCUUAACUGUGGGCGUGCGGGCGAUACGGGCAGACUAGAGUACUGCAGGGGAGACUGGAAUUCCUGGUGUAGCGGUGGAAUGCGCAGAUAUCAGGAGGAACACCGGUGGCGAAGGCGGGUCUCUGGGCAGUAACUGACGCUGAGGAGCGAAAGCGUGGGGAGCGAACAGGAUUAGAUACCCUGGUAGUCCAA